AUUGAACGCUGGCGGCAGGCCUAACACAUGCAAGUCGAGCGGAUGAAGGGUGCUUGCUCCUGGAUUCAGCGGCGGACGGGUGAGUAAUGCAUAGGAAUCUGCCUGGUAGUGGGGGAUAACGUCCGGAAACGGGCGCUAAUACCGCAUACGUCCUGAGGGAGAAAGUGGGGGAUCUUCGGACCUCACGCUAUCAGAUGAGCCUAGGUCGGGUUAGCUAGUUGGUGGGGUAAAGGCCUACCAAGGCGACGAUCCGUAACUGGUCUGAGAGGAUGAUCAGUCACACUGGAACUGAGACACGGUCCAGACUCCUACGGGAGGCAGCAGUGGGGAAUAUUGGACAAUGGGCGAAAGCCUGAUCCAGCCAUGCCGCGUGUGUGAAGAAGGUCUUCGGAUUGUAAAGCACUUUAAGUUGGGAGGAAGGGCAGUAAGUUAAUACCUUGCUGUUUUGACGUUACCAACAGAAUAAGCACCGGCUAACUUCGUG
rnacentral:rRNA from 1 species